rnacentral:rRNA from 1 species
AGGGAAUCUUCGGCAAUGGGCGAAAGCCUGACCGAGCAACGCCGCGUGAAUGAUGAAGGCCUUCGGGUUGUAAAAUUCUGUUAUAAGGGAAGAAUGGCUCUAGUAGGAAAUGGCUAGAGUGUGACGGUACCUUAUGAGAAAGCCACGGCUAACUACGUGCCAGCAGCCGCGGUAAUACGUAGGUGGCGAGCGUUAUCCGGAAUUAUUGGGCGUAAAGAGCGCGCAGGUGGUUGAUUAAGUCUGAUGUGGAAGCCCACGGCUUAACCGUGGAGGGUCAUUGGAAACUGGUCAACUUGAGUGCAGAAGAGGGAAGUGGAAUUCCAUGUGUAGCGGUGAAAUGCGUAGAGAUAUGGAGGAACACCAGUGGCGAAGGCGGCUUCCUGGUCUGUAACUGACACUGAGGCGCGAAAGCGUGGGGAGCAAAC